AUCGCUUCUCGGCCUUUUGGCUAAGAUCAAGUGUAGUAUCUGUUCUUAUCAGAAGGCAGUGCUCCCCCAGGGACCUUAGAUGUUGAGGGGUAUGGCUCAGGACGAGCCAGGUGUAUCCUGGCAGAGCUUGUCAUUCGUAGGAACGUUAU
rnacentral:snRNA from 1 species